rnacentral:tRNA from 1 species
UUGGGGAUAUAGCUCGGUUGGUAGAGUGCUUGCCUAGCAUGCACAAGGUCCUGGGUUCAAUCCCUAGCACCAAA